rnacentral:rRNA from 1 species
UACGUAGGGGGCUAGCGUUGUCCGGAAUCAUUGGGCGUAAAGCGCGCGUAGGCGGCCCGGUAAGUCCGCUGUGAAAGUCAAAGGCUCAACCUUUGAAUGUCAGCGGAUACUGCCGGGCUAGAGUCCGGAAGAGGCGAGUGGAACUCCUGGUGUAGCGGUGGAAUGCGCAGAUAUCAGGAAGAACACCAACGGCGAAGGCAGCUCUCUGGGUCCCUACCGACGCUGGGGUGCGAAAGCAUGGGGAGCGAACAGG